rnacentral:rRNA from 1 species
CUUGCUCUGUGGAUCAGUGGCGAACGGGUGAGUAACACGUGAGCAACCUGCCCCGGACUCUGGGAUAAGCGCUGGAAACGGCGUCUAAUACUGGAUACGAGACGUGAUCGCAUGGUCAACGUCUGGAAAGAUUUUUCGGUCUGGGAUGGGCUCGCGGCCUAUCAGCUUGUUGGUGAGGUAAUGGCUCACCAAGGCGUCGACGGGUAGCCGGCCUGAGAGGGUGACCGGCCACACUGGGACUGAGACACGGCCCAGACUCCUACGGGAGGCAGCAGUGGGGAAUAUUGCACAAUGGGCGGAAGCCUGAUGCAGCAACGCCGCGUGAGGGAUGACGGCCUUCGGGUUGUAAACCUCUUUUAGCAGGGAAGAAGCGAAAGUGACGGUACCUGCAGAAAAAGCGCCGGCUAACUACGUGCCAGCAGCCGCGGUAAUACGUAGGGCGCAAGCGUUAUCCGGAAUUAUUGGGCGUAAAGAGCUCGUAGGCGGUCUGUCGCGUCUGCUGUGAAAACCCGAGGCUCAACCUCGGGCCUGCAGUGGGUACGGGCAGACUAGAGUGCGGUAGGGGAGAUUGGAAUUCCUGGUGUAGCGGUGGAAUGCGCAGAUAUCAGGAGGAACACCGAUGGCGAAGGCAGAUCUCUGGGCCGUAACUGACGCUGAGGAGCGAAAGGGUGGGGAGCAAACAGGCUUAGAUACCCUGGUAGUCCACCCCGUAAACGUUGGGAACUAGUUGUGGGGUCCUUUCCACGGAUUCCGUGACGCAGCUAACGCAUUAAGUUCCCCGCCUGGGGAGUACGGCCGCAAGGCUAAAACUCAAAGGAAUUGACGGGGACCCGCACAAGCGGCGG